UUUGAAGUGAGGCAAAGCAAAAGUUGUUUUCGUGCCGUGUUAUGUACUAUUUUUCGUUGUUGAUAAUUUUGAAAAAGAUACAUAUUUUUCGAAGCCAAUAUGGAGUUAUAUUCCGGAAAUGAUUGUAUUCAUUCUCCUAUUGGUUGUGCCUUCCACUUCGCCCCUACCACCUCGGGACCGGCCUGCGAAGUUUGAACCAAAACGUCUUCAGACAAAGAGGAAGAUUUGGUCUUAGCAUCGCCGGCUGGCUUGCAAAUCUGAGACAAUCAGAAGAUCAGAAUCCUGGUGGUGGAACAACAGGGAAACAUCAAACUGAUAAUAAGUCCCUUGAGGAAUGCCGUGAAGGCGUGGAUCAAAAUGAGACACGGUGGCGUGAAUCCCAAAAUAGCUACACCAACGAUCGAUCUAAUCAGUCACGCUUUCAGGAUAAAAAGGACCGCAAAAAGCACAAUUGAAAACAUUCCUUUGAGCUUCAAGUCCUUCAGAAAAAUGUUGGGAACGUGAAUCCAGGAAACGAACUGCCGCAAAGUUCCCACAGUUUAAAAAAGGACGAUAGUAAGGAUCUAUUUGAGCACUUUUGAUCUCAAGAGAAGAAAGGCCACAGAUCGCAAAGAUCAAAACAUUUACCUGAGCAUUGUUCCCUUGAGAAGAAUUAUGGAACCUCUGAAUCUGAAAGUGAAGUACCGUGCGGUUCUAACAAGGACGAUAUUCAGGAUCGAGCUUAUCACGCUCGCUUUCAUGAUGAGCUAGGACACAUUUCGCCGAAAUCAAGAG